GCCUGGGUGGCUCAGUGGGUUGAGCCACUGGCUUCGGCUCAGGUCAUGAUCUCGGGGUCGUGGGAUCGAGCCCCACAUUGGGCU
rnacentral:tRNA from 1 species